CCUACGGGUGGCAGCAGUGAGGAAUAUUGGUCAAUGGACGAGAGUCUGAACCAGCCAAGUAGCGUGAAGGAUGACUGCCCUAUGGAUUGUAAACUUCUUUUAUAAAGGAAUAAAACGAGGCACGUGUGCCUUUUUGCAUGUACUUUAUGAAUAAGGAUCGGCUAACUCCGUGCCAGCAGCCGCGGUAAUACGGAGGAUCCGAGCGUUAUCCGGAUUUAUUGGGUUUAAAGGGAGCGUAGAUGGGUUGUUAAGUCAGUUGUGAAAGUUUGCGGCGCAACCGUAAAAUUGCAAUGGAUACUGGCAGUCUUGAGUACAGUUGAGGUAGGCGGAAUUCGUGGUGUAGCGGUGAAAUGCUUAGAUAUCACGAAGAACCCCGAUUGCGAAGGCAGCUUACUAAACUGUGACUGACAUUGAUGCUCGAAAGUGUGGGUAGCAAACAGGAUUAGAUACCCCUGUAGUC
rnacentral:rRNA from 1 species